CUACGGGGGGCUGCAGUGGGGAAUAUUGCACAAUGGGCGAAAGCCUGAUGCAGCAACGCCGCGUGAGGGACGACGGCCUUCGGGUUGUAACCUCUUUUAGCAGGGAAGAAGCGAAAGUGACGGUACCUGCAGAAAAAGCACCGGCUAACUACGUGCCAGCAGCCGCGUAAUACGUAGGGUGCAAGCGUUGUCCGGAAUUGUUGGGCGUAAAGAGCUCGUAGGCGGUUUGUCGCGUCUGCUGUGAAAAUCCGAGGCUCAACCUCGGACCUGCAGUGGGUACGGGCAAACUAGAGUGCGGUAGGGGAGAUUGGAAUUCCUGGUGUAGCGGUGGAAUGCGCAGAUAUCAGGAGGAACACCAAUGGCGAAGGCAGAUCUCUGGGCCGUAACUGACGCUGAGGAGCGAAAGCGUGGGGAGCGAACAGGAUUAGAUACCCUCGUAGUC
rnacentral:rRNA from 1 species